UAGGGAAUCUUCCGCAAUGGGCGAAAGCCUGACGGAGCAACGCCGCGUGAGUGAUGAAGGUCUUCGGAUCGUAAAACUCUGUUAUUAGGGAAGAACAAAUGUGCAAGUAACUAUGCACGUCUUGACGGUACCUAAUCAGAAAGCCACGGCUAACUACGUGCCAGCAGCCGCGGUAAUACGUAGGUGGCAAGCGUUAUCCGGAAUUAUUGGGCGUAAAGCGCGCGUAGGCGGUUUUUUAAGUCUGAUGUGAAAGCCCACGGCUCAACCGUGGAGGGUCAUUGGAAACUGGAAAACUUGAGUGCAGAAGAGGAAAGUGGAAUUCCAUGUGUAGCGGUGAAAUGCGCAGAGAUAUGGAGGAACACCAGUGGCGAAGGCGACUUUCUGGUCUGUAACUGACGCUGAUGUGCGAAAGCGUGGGGAUCAAACAGG
rnacentral:rRNA from 1 species